rnacentral:lncRNA from 1 species
AGCAUUUGCAGGCAAAUUAUACUCCAUGAGCUAAUUAGGAAGGGAUUGGGGCCCUUAGCCUUAAUUAAUAUCUAGUCCCUAACAACUUAAUCCUGGGUGAGAUCAUAGUAGGGAUUGCCCCUGAAUGCCGAAAUUCUUUCCUUCAACAAAUCACCUAUAUAAAUACAUAUAUUUUAAUAGCAGCAAUUAUAAAGUUCUCUGCCAACUUAUGGGGCUGUUUAACAUUCCUGGAUCGAGGCCACCGUUUUUUUUUUUUUUUCUCCCGGUCUCCUCCCUCCCCACAACCAAAGCCUAAUGAAUAGUAACGCUUUUGUGGCUCGGGCUUUCCGUUUCACCAGUAUCUCCUACCCAGUGGGUCUUCGCAGGGAGUUAAUAAGCAGUCUGGGAGGACUGCCUGAGGAGGUCCCGAACCUAAUGGUUAACUGCAAAGCCUAAUCAGUAUCUGCUUCCCACCCAGAGGCCCCCACAGCUACACGGUCCUGGUCCCUCCAGUAAUGGAUGGAAAAUCAGCGAUUUCCUGACAGUUAGCAACCAAUUUUCCACCAAUUAGAAGAGAGAUGGUGGUCUCUGGAGGCAGCUGGAUGGCGGCGUUGCACAGAACUGGAAGGAAGAGAGAUGAUCCUCGAAGCACCAGCACUCCGGCCCCCGCUCCUUAGGGUCCUAAAACAGAACAGCUCCACAGGCCUUCAGCAUCCACCACUGCCAAAGUGUGGGCGAGGACUCCGUGGCAGGAACAGCAAGCUCUUGUACACGGUAGGCGCACAGGACAUGCUGCUCUCCUCUGCUCCAGGGCCACAGCUCAGGGACAAAAGGAGGUGAGUAAAGACCUUGCUGACAAGCUUUUGAGUCAUGAAAGAGAGACAGAGUUGCCCUCCAUCAUUUCAGCACUUAUUAGAUGGGAUUGUACUCUCAAUUCUUGGACAACUGGCCAUUCCCCUCUCGGAAUUGUAGCCGAAUCAGAAAUCAGCCAUAGUACCCCCCUCAAGGAGCUCAGUGCUGGGGCAGGGGAGAGGCAGUGAUUGUUUCAUGAGCAUCCCCGGGCUCUGGGCUCUUGCUAGGAAGCUCUCGUGGACUGUCUUGCCUAGCACCUGGCGUCGGGCACGCAUGUACCAUAUCAUACAGACGGAGACCCUUCUGGAAGUGAAAGGGGGCACCCUCGCCAGCAGCCGAGGUUGAUGGGCACAAUUUAAGGCCGUCACAGGCUCGCUGGCACAGAGGGAUGGCCUGUCUCAAAGGCACGUGUC